CUGUUUGUAGCAGGAUUAGGUGAGCUGUGAUUGACAGCUGGUAUCGCCUAUCAGAGAGUGGCAGUCCCCUUUUAAGCGGUGAUUGGCUGCUGCUCUGAAUGCGUCAUGUCCGACUUCCCCCCUGGGGGUUUGCAACGUUAGCGGCAGUGUGUUGUCUGUCGUGCUGGUGCCCUUGUGCUGUCCGUUGUGUACGUGAUGGUGUACCCUCAGUUGGCUUAGGGUUUUCCUGCUGUUGGUUAACCUGUGCCUCAAAACAGUAAAUAGUCUGGGGUGAUGCCACUUUUCGGUAAGUGUCUAGCACGAAGUCUUAAUGUUUGAGUUGUGUGUAGUUUUAAUAUUAUAUUUGUUUACUGUAGGAGUCUCCCUUUCGUUCUAUGCCGUGUCUCCCCUUGCGGUGUGUCUUUGCUUCUCGCACUACGGUGUUGCACCGUUGCUAACAACGUCAUUAGCUGCACUGCUACACGCGGAACUGUACCUUGUCUGGUUCUGCUGAGCGGCUAGAACUAACGCUCCACUUUUAAUGUGACCAUCACAGAGCCGUGGUGUGCUCUGUGUGAGAACGAGUACCUCUCCAUUGGCUGUUUUUAAUGCAUCAUCAUCAUUGUGUUUCUUUUUGUUUAUUUUCCCUUAUUGGUGACGAACAACCCCUGUGUCUGUGAAAAUUCGCUCAGAUGACCCAAUGAUGCUAGUACAUAGGAUUGUUCAUGUAGUUGGUUCCUGAGAACUGUGUUCUGCCUAUAAUUGACUCCUUGUUAAUGGUACAUGUUUAUAUUGUAUACUUGCUUCCUGUUACAUACAGGUGGUUUGGACUGGUAUAAUUAAUUUAACUAAUUAUCAAAUUAUUUGUUUAUUUUCUUUUACUGUCUGUGGUGGUCGUCGGCCUGGUGAAAUAAGGCUGAUCGUCACCAUUUUUGUUUUGAGUGAAUAAAUUAUUUAUAUCAUUUUGGUUUGUUGCAGGAGCUGGGGUCCCACGGGUGAUGGAGCUUUUCCGGUGGUGGUGCUUCCUCCUCAGGGCGUGCUGUGUAACACUUGACGUGUGUGGUUGUGUAGUCUGAGUGCACAGUGGGGUGUGUGUGUGUGCCUUUUGUAAAACACGAGUCGUGAUAAAGUAAUUUCUCCUGUUGGGAACCUCAGCCCUGCUGGUUUGUAUGUUUUGUUUUGUUUCUAUUAAUUUCUCAUUUUGAGAUUUGAUUGUGGUGAUUGUGCAUUUUGAAGUGGAGUGACUGACGUAUGUUGGGAGUGCUCAUUUUAAAGGAUUUUGUCUAAAUAAAAUGUAUUUUUGUACUAUACCCAUGUCUCUUGCUCACUCUAUUUAAAGAGGAACGAACUUGUGUGCCUUUCCACCCUUUUUGGGUGUAAGGAAUAUUUCCCUGGGUGUAAGUCCCGGGGUGGCGUAGUCGGAAUUUUAUGUAAAAUCGCUGCUUUCAUCAUGAAGCUAAACUCUCACCCCCUCGUCAUGCCACAUUCUGGCGUAGUCGGCAGGAUCCUCUGAUUUAGAGUGCAGAGACGUGGGUAUUGUGUUUUUUUGUUUUGUGUGUAUGUGGGUUUGUUUUUUUCUCUUGCAGGAACCAGACAGAGGCAGUUUUCGUGUCGCGACCCCAGCACAAUUUGUUGCAGGGUUUGUGCUGUCCGAUCGUUUAUGGUAAGCAGUCCUGGGUACUUACGAUGGAGGACAAAUUAUCUGGGUUAAGAAAUUUAGUAGCUCUAUGGGGGGUGGAACUUGUUAUUGGUUUAAGAACGAAAGGGAGAAUCUGAGUGUCACGUGGAGGGCCAGCUGGUUUUAUAUGGGUAGGGUUGUAAAAGUUUUGUGAUGUUGGACAUGGCGUAUCAUUAAAGGCACCAUUAAAUUGGUUGUCGUCAUUCAUUCUGUAUUAUCUGUACAGUUUUGUCUGAAGUUGGGGUAUUACUGAGGUAGUAUUAUGCCUGUGACUUAAAUUUUAUGAAGGAAGGGUAGGUACUAAUCGGUCCCAUGUCAUCCGUUGUCAAAUGGGGUCCCUCAGAGUCUGGGGUGGAACCAUCGGAUGAGGUUUAUUGGUAGGAGACGUACCCCCCAGGUCAGUCAUUUUCAGAUGGGGUCCCUCAGCACUUGGGGUGAAACCAUCUGGCGAAUUUUAUCGUGCAGGAGAUUUAUCCCAGUGUUAGUUAAUUUUAUGUAAGGGUGGGUAGGUACAAAUCGGUCCCAUGUCAUUGGUUGUUGGAUGGGGUCCCUCAGAGUUUGGGGUGGAACCAUCCGAUGAUGUUUUGGUAGGAGAUGUACCUUCCCCCCAGGUCAGUCAUUUUCGGAUGGGGUCCCUCAGAGUCUGGGGUGAAACCAUCUGAGGUUUUAUUGCACUGGAAAGCUCUUGAUUUAGUCAUGUGUCAUUAGAGAGUAUGUCAGGUCAGUACUCCAACUGAUACCACUUUUUGUAAAUGGCGGGCACAGUGGUUGUGUCUGCAGAGUGGAUCGUAAAAUGUGCCUUCUUCCGACCUCGGGGCUGAGCACCCUGAGGUGGGGUUCUGUUUAGUUCACCGUCGGGGCGACGUUGCAGAAACUUGGGGUGGAUUGUAGCAGGAUUAGGUGAGCUGUGAUUGACAGCUGGUAUCGCCUAUCAGAGAGUGGCAGUCCCCUUUUAAGCGGUGAUUGGCUGCUGCUCUGAAUGCGUCAUGUCCGACUUCCCCCCUGGGGGUUUGCAACGUUAGCGGCAGUGUGUUGUCUGUCGUGCUGGUGCCCUUGUGCUGUCCGUUGUGUACGUGAUGGUGUACCCUCAGUUGGCUUAGGGUUUUCCUGCUGUUGGUUAACCUGUGCCUCAAAACAGUAAAUAGUCUGGGGUGAUGCCACUUUUCGGAGCUGGGGUCCCACGGGUGAUGGAGCUUUUCCGGUGGUGGUGCUUCCUCCUCAGGGCGUGCUGUGUAACACUUGACGUGUGUGGUUGUGUAGUCUGAGUGCACAGUGGGGUGUGUGUGUGUGCCUUUUGUAAAACACGAGUCGUGAUAAAGUAAUUUCUCCUGUUGGGAACCUCAGCCCUGCUGGUUUGUAUGUUUUGUUUUGUUUCUAUUAAUUUCUCAUUUUGAGAUUUGAUUGUGGUGAUUGUGCAUUUUGAAGUGGAGUGACUGACGUAUGUUGGGAGUGCUCAUUUUAAAGGAUUUUGUCUAAAUAAAAUGUAUUUUUGUACUAUA